CCAGCUCUAACCAUGGAAUACUGGGAAUGUCCCUUUCUAUGAAGGAGGUUUGCUGGCCACAACAGGAAUAUUCAUGAACAUGGAGGGGUUGGGCAUGUUCCAGGAUCUGUCUAUAGACUUCUCUCAGGAGGAAUGGGAGUGCCUGGACGCUGCUCAGAAGGACUGAUACAGAGAUGUAAUGAUGGAGAACUAUAGCAGCCUGGUCUCACUAGGUCUCUCUAUCCCAAAGCCUGAUGUGAUUUCCUUACUGGAGCAAGGGAAAGAGCCCUGGAUGGUUUCAAGGGACAUACCGGGAGGAUGGUGCCCAGUUUUCCUUUAAUGCAGCCACUUCAUGCAUCAAUAGAUAUUCA
rnacentral:lncRNA from 1 species